AUUGAACGCUGGCGGCAGGCCUAACUCAUGCAAGUCGAGCGGAUGAAGGGAGCUUGCUCCUGGAUUCAGCGGCGGACGGGUGAGUAAUGCCUAGGAAUCUGUCUGGUAGUGGGGGAUAACGUCCGGAAACGGGCGCUAAUACCGCAUACGUCCUGAGGGAGAAAGUGGGGGAUCUUCGGACCUCACGCUAUCAGAUGAGCCUAGGUCGGAUUAGCUAGUUGGUGGGGUAAAGGCCUACCAAGGCGACGAUCCGUAACUGGUCUGAGAGGAUGAUCAGUCACACUGGAACUGAGACACGGUCCAGACUCCUACGGGAGGCAGCAGUGGGGAAUAUUGGACAAUGGGCGAAAGCCUGAUCCAGCCAUGCCGCGUGUGUGAAGAAGGUCUUCGGAUUGUAAAGCACUUUAAGUUGGGAGGAAGGGCAGUAAGUUAAUACCUUGCUGUUUUGACGUUACCAACAGAAUAAGCACCGGCUAACUUCGUG
rnacentral:rRNA from 1 species